UACAGAGGGUGCAAGCGUUGUUCGGAAUUAUUGGGCGUAAAGCGCGUGUAGGCGGCUUAGCAAGUCGGGCGUGAAAGCCCUCGGCUCAACCGAGGAAGUGCACCCGAAACUGCUGAGCUUGAGUGCCGGAGAGGAUGGCGGAAUACCCCAAGUAGAGGUGAAAUUCGUAGAUAUGGGGUGGAACACCGGUGGCGAAGGCGGCCAUCUGGACGGUAACUGGACGCUGAGACGCGAAAGCGUGGGUAGCAAACGAGG
rnacentral:rRNA from 1 species